rnacentral:rRNA from 1 species
AAAUUGAAGAGUUUGAUCAUGGCUCAGAUUGAACGCUGGCGGCAGGCCUAACACAUGCAAGUCGAACGGUAGCACAGAGAGCUUGCUCUCGGGUGACGAGUGGCGGACGGGUGAGUAAUGUCUGGGAAACUGCCUGAUGGAGGGGGAUAACUACUGGAAACGGUGGCUAAUACCGCAUAACGUCGCAAGACCAAAGAGGGGGACCUUCGGGCCUCUUGCCAUCAGAUGUGCCCAGAUGGGAUUAGCUAGUUGGUGAGGUAACGGCUCACCAAGGCGACGAUCCCUAGCUGGUCUGAGAGGAUGACCAGCCACACUGGAACUGAGACACGGUCCAGACUCCUACGGGAGGCAGCAGUGGGGAAUAUUGCACAAUGGGCGCAAGCCUGAUGCAGCCAUGCCGCGUGUAUGAAGAAGGCCUUCGGGUUGUAAAGUACUUUCAGCGGGGAGGAAGGUGUUGCGGUUAAUAACCGCAGCAAUUGACGUUACCCGCAGAAGAAGCACCGGCUAACUCCGUGCCAGCAGCCGCGGUAAUACGGAGGGUGCAAGCGUUAAUCGGAAUUACUGGGCGUAAAGCGCACGCAGGCGGUCUGUCAAGUCGGAUGUGAAAUCCCCGGGCUCAACCUGGGAACUGCAUUCGAAACUGGCAGGCUUGAGUCUUGUAGAGGGGGGUAGAAUUCCAGGUGUAGCGGUGAAAUGCGUAGAGAUCUGGAGGAAUACCGGUGGCGAAGGCGGCCCCCUGGACAAAGACUGACGCUCAGGUGCGAAAGCGUGGGGAGCAAACAGGAUUAGAUACCCUGGUAGUCCACGCCGUAAACGAUGUCUACUUGGAGGUUGUGCCCUUGAGGCGUGGCUUCCGGAGCUAACGCGUUAAGUAGACCGCCUGGGGAGUACGGCCGCAAGGUUAAAACUCAAAUGAAUUGACGGGGGCCCGCACAAGCGGUGGAGCAUGUGGUUUAAUUCGAUGCAACGCGAAGAACCUUACCUGGUCUUGACAUCCACAGAACUUUCCAGAGAUGGAUUGGUGCCUUCGGGAACUGUGAGACAGGUGCUGCAUGGCUGUCGUCAGCUCGUGUUGUGAAAUGUUGGGUUAAGUCCCGCAACGAGCGCAACCCUUAUCCUUUGUUGCCAGCGGUUAGGCCGGGAACUCAAAGGAGACUGCCAGUGAUAAACUGGAGGAAGGUGGGGAUGACGUCAAGUCAUCAUGGCCCUUACGACCAGGGCUACACACGUGCUACAAUGGCGCAUACAAAGAGAAGCGACCUCGCGAGAGCAAGCGGACCUCAUAAAGUGCGUCGUAGUCCGGAUUGGAGUCUGCAACUCGACUCCAUGAAGUCGGAAUCGCUAGUAAUCGUGGAUCAGAAUGCCACGGUGAAUACGUUCCCGGGCCUUGUACACACCGCCCGUCACACCAUGGGAGUGGGUUGCAAAAGAAGUAGGUAGCUUAACCUUCGGGAGGGCGCUUACCACUUUGUGAUUCAUGACUGGGGUGAAGUCGUAACAAGGUAACCGUAGGGGAACCUGCGGUUGGAUCACCUCCUUA